CAGCCGCCGCGGGAAUACAGAGGGUGCGAGCGUUAAUCGGAUUUACUGGGCGUAAAGCGUGCGUAGGCGGCUUCUUAAGUCGGAUGUGAAAUCCCUGAGCUUAACUUAGGAAUUGCAUUCGAUACUGGGAAGCUAGAGUAUGGGAGAGGAUGGUAGAAUUCCAGGUGUAGCGGUGAAAUGCGUAGAGAUCUGGAGGAAUACCGAUGGCGAAGGCAGCCAUCUGGCCUAAUACUGACGCUGAGGUACGAAAGCAUGGGGAGCAAACAGGAUUAGAUACCCCCGUAGUCCCUGUCUCUUAUCC
rnacentral:rRNA from 1 species